rnacentral:rRNA from 1 species
UACGUAGGUGGCAAGCGUUGUCCGGAUUUACUGGGCGUAAAGGGCGUGCAGGCGGUCUGUUAAGUGCAGGGUGAAAGCUCCCGGCUCAACUGGGAGAGGUCCUUGCAUACUGGCGGACUUGAGGGGGGUAGAGGAAAGUGGAAUUCCCGGUGUAGUGGUGAUAUGCGUAGAUAUCGGGAGGAACACCUGUGGCGAAGGCGGCUUUCUGGGCCCUACCUGACGCUGAGACGCGAAAGCGUGGGGAGCAAACGGG